CCGGAGAUUAUUAUAGAAGUUUCCAAACUGAAGCAAUGUCCAGAUUUCCGCCACAGCAGCUGGCAUUUUGACAUCAGCAGAGGCUGUUUUCUUUUACCCAGGUACCGAGGACCUUCAGAUAGGACAUCAGAGAAUUCAGAGCCCAGACAGCUGGUGAAAAGAACAUGGAGCUGACAAGUACAGCAGCCCCCAAAACCGAGGGCUUCAGCAACACUGGCUUCCGGGUGAGCAGAACUUUCUUCUUCUGUUUGAAACCAAAUAAAUGAAAAAAAAAAUGCUCUUUCCUUACCCACUUGGCAAGUUUCUUAAACUAAAGCAGUGGGAUUACUGGGGCACUGUCAAGAAUUUUAAUGUCACAUUUUAGCCCACUAUUUUCUUCUUGGGUUCUUUUGUGUUGACAAACCUGAAAAGUCUCUUUUAAUGACUGAGUGUUGAUCCAGACUUGCUCUGUCGCUAGGAAACAAAACUGCCUUCUCCUCCCUUUUUUCCCCCUCUGGCUCACAACAUGGUUGCAGUAUUUACCUGCAGGCAUCCUUCCAAAGAUUGGGGGAAAUUCCAUCUUGACUAGAUCAAGCAUCUCAGGACUCCUUCCUUCUAAACUAGGUCCCACAGCCCCUGUCUGAUAGUGGCCCUGGUGCCUGCCCCAGAACAGACGAGCAAGUCAGUCUCCUGUCAUCAACCCAAAUGCUGCUCAUCCCAGGGCUGGGUGCCACAGUCUCAGAAGGAGGCGUAUUAAAAACAACACACAGGAUUGGGGUGUAGCUCAGUGGUGAGGUGUAGCUUGCUUAGCAUGCUCAAAGACCUGGAUUCCAUUCUCAGUGCUGCCUUAAUAAAUUAAUUUAAAAAUUAAUUAUCCCUUUAAAAAAAAAAAACAGGCUAUUCCAAUUUGGUGUAGGAUGGGGAUUUUCAGAGUUGUUCCUAGGUGUGCUUCUUUUCCUGACCUGACACUUAGCAUGAGAGCUUUGGAAAAGACACAAAAUCUGCAAUGAGCAUGUGUGAGCAGCCCCUUGGGCCUCAUGAUCACUAGAAGGACAAAACAGAACUUUUGGGUAUUAAUAAGAAAAGAAGAAGGGGAAAAAGGACUUUGACAUGAACCCUGUUUCUAUCUAUAAGUUACUAUCUCUCGGAGUCCCAGUUUGUCUAUUCGAUAGUCACAGGGAUAUCCAUCUGAUACUAAAUGGGAGGAAAAACUUCUACCCUUUCAGGUACAAUUCCUAAGUCCUGUGAAUUAAACAAAUGAAAACUGAGUUAACAGGAGAAAAGUAUUACAAAUUUUAGUAACUUUUUAAAUUUCACAUGGGAACCUCACAAAAAAAGUGAAAAACCCAAAGAAGCAUUUAAACUUGAGAGUUUAUGUAUCAUUUUAACAAAGGGUGUCACGUUAGGAGAAGUGACUAGACAAAGGAAAGAGGUUUGGGGCUGUUCAGGCCAAUAAAUUUUGGGAAAGCAACUUGGAAAUAAAUGGCAGGGGGGAUGACAAAUGGAAGAUAAAGCUGAUUCUUGGAAGAUUUGUUUUCCCAUACUUACCACCUAGUGAAAAGGGUUGUUCUCCUCUUCCUUUUAUGGGACAAAGGGACAAGGGAAAUAAUAUGCCUUGCUUUUAGGAAGAUGAGGGAGGGCAGAGUGCUCACUCGUAUCUGCUCCUUCUCAGUUACCUUAGUUCAAAAUAUUCUUCUGUGAGAAUGGCAUGUUUUGAAAGUAGCAUACCCUGGUCCCCUGUAUGAAUAUUAAAUGAUGGAAGGGGGCACCAAGUAUGAAACCUGUUAUAAGUUAAAGAGUGAAAUGAGGGGCUGCAUGGGGGAAAGCAGGUCUAAUAGUGAGAAAAAAGCUGGUGCACAUCUCUGCAACUGGCUGCUCACAGUAAGCAGGACACACCAGGGGCCCUGUUUCCUAUCCCUCAUGUUCCUCCAUCAAAGCAGAGCCUCUCCAGGCUUCAGGGUUCUGAGCAGCACAGUACCACACCAACACCUCCAUCACCAACAAGCAGUGACUGGCUCAUUGCUUCCAAAGCUUGCUUUUCAACAAGAAUUUCUGGAUCUUGUAUUUACCAGUGCUAAGAAGGGACACCAAUUCAAGGAGGCAUGAUACACUGUUUUUGCCCUUGAGAAGGAGAGCAGGGAGCCUGAUGUGGUGGUGCACACUUGGAAUCCCAGCAGCUCAGGAGGAGGUGGCAGAGGAUUGAGAGUUCAAAGCCAGUCUCAACAACUUAGCAAGGCCCUAAGCAACUUAGUGAGACCUUGUCUCUAAGUAGAUAAUAGCAAGGGCUGGGGAUGGGACUUAGUGGUUAAGCACCCCUGGGUUCAAUCCUGGUACCAAUAAUAAUAAUAACUAAAAGAAGUAAUAAUAAUAAUUAAAAGAAGAGGAGGAAAAGGAAGAGAAGAGGAGGAACAGGAAGAAGAGCAGGCUAGAGGCUUGCACCAAAUCACUUUGCCUAUAUCCCAUCCCAUCUUUUCCAUUCUCUUGAAUCAUAAUAAGUCUUAAUUGGUAAAUAAAUAUAUAGUUGGCGCUGGGCGGUCUGUGGAGUCCAUACAGCAUACAGAGGGAGAGAGAACUUUCAGUUAGGACUGAACAAAUGGGCAGGCAUUUUCCAGGCAAGCAGGAGGUGGGGUGGGUCCACAGAACACUGCAGGCAAAGAGAACUGUCCCAGAGCCUAAAAGAGAAGAGCAUGUGUCUGGGGUGGGGAACAGGAGGCAGGGGGACAGCACAGGCUGGUGCCAGAUCAUGUGGCCUCCAUGUGUGCUGAGGCAUGAGAGAGGGAACCUCUCAAAACCAAGAUGACCCAAUUAUUUUUUAAGUGAGCCUAGUGGCCCUCUUGAAGGUGAAUGAAAAUGGAGAGAGAUUUGUGUGCAGUUGGGAGAUCAGUUAGGAAGUCAGUACAAUCACCCAGAUGAAGCCUGAGGCAGUGGACACAUGCAGGAUCAAGGUGCUAACACGGGUAAGAGGCCUUUACUCAGGGGCCAUCUGGAGUCAGGAUCAGGGUCUGAGCGCUGCUCUGGCUCUCAAGCCUCCAUCUUCUCCUGUAGGGUAAGAUAAUAAUGGUACCUCAGGAUUGUUGAGGGAAUUAACUGAGGUAAUACACAUAAAAAGUGUUUGUAAUACAGAAAUACACUUUUAUGAAAAACAGUGCCCAGCACAUAGUACAGGCAAAAUAAUAGCAGCUCUUGGUGUUGGGAUUGAUUAAUGAGUGAGGAGUCAGUAUGAGAUGUCAACCUGGAAGUGCUUGCCUUUUUUAGACAGGAGAUCUUUCUUUUCUUUUUUUAAAAUUCUGUUUGUUUGGUCGGUUUGGUUUUAGGGUUUGUUUUGUUGUUGUUUUGUUUUUGGGUUUUUCCCCCUCUUUUCCCUCUCUUGCACUCUCUCUCUCUCAUUAGAAUAAGGAACAGUUUCAUCUGAGGCUGUUGGUUGAAAUUUGAGAGAUUCCAGGCAUUUUGACAAGAGUGUAUAUCAAGUAGGGAGUUUGUGGUGCACAUCCACCUGGAACCUAAAUCACACAGAUUUGGAGGUUGUUAGCACAGAGAUGGACAAGGGUGUGGGUAANAGUUGCUUAGGGCCUUACUAAAUUGCUGAUGCUUUGGGAUCCUCCUGCCUCUGCCUCCCAAGCCCAUGGGAUUAUAGGCAUGCACCAAUGCACCCGGUUGUCAGAUAUAGGACUUCUUAAAAAGUGGACUGUGACUCAGAUCAGAGAACAGGGAAUUGAUUUCCCUCAGUAGCCCCAUCCCUACACCUGCUCACUAGUACCUCCCUCCCCAACUCCUCUCAGGACUAACCAUUGUCUCAACUUGCUGUCCUAGUCCUCAACUUCUAACUAUGAGUCCCCAAGCCACACUUGCUUUUUUGAACUUUAUAUAACCAGAAACUUACAAAAUAUAUUCUUUGCUUAUCUUUGAACAUAUAUGGAAUUAAGCAGGAUGAAUUCUUUUGUAUCUGGCUUCUUUUGCUCAGUUUUCAGCCAUAGUGUUACAAGUGACCGCAAUUAUCCAGUUUAACAAUAUAUAGUACUCUGUCUGGUAAAUAUUCCACAAUUGAUAAUUUUACCCUGUGGACAUGGUUGUUAUUGCAGUUGAAGUUUUUUGGAACUUCUACAGAAAACACAGCUGUGAACGCUCUUGGACAUGCUUUCUGGAGCACUGUGACAAUUUAAUCAAGAUUGUGCUCAGGAGUAGAAUGGUUAGGUCAUCAGAGUACAUACACACUUUCAACUCUUACUAAUAAUGCCAAACUGUUUCCUAAAUGAGUGCACCAAUUUACACGUCCAUCAGCAGAGCGUGAGUUCCUGUUUAUCCUCCACAUCUUCACCUAAAUUCAAAUGGCUUUUUUAACUUCAGCCAUUUUGGUGGGUGUGUGGCCAUACAGUCAUGCAUCAAUCAACAGCGUCCUUCAUACAUCAUUAGGCAAUUAUGUUGGUGUGCAAACAUCCCAGAGUGGACAUAAGUGAAACUCCAUGGUGUAGGCCAAUUACUUGUCCUGGCCUCUUGAUUCAAUUGAGAUGUAAUAAACUCAAGGUGUACAACGUUGCUGCCAGUGUAACAGCACACUGUACAGUACACAUUUCUUUCUUUCUAUUUGUUUUUCUUUGUAAUCACAAAGACCAUGCUCUUAAAAUAACAACAACAAAAAAAAGCAUAGUAUAGUUGAUAUAUAAACCAGUAGCAGUCUUUGUCAUCAUCAUCAUUAUUGUCAUGCACUGUACCUCAUUGUGUGCACUCCACACUGGCAGUGCAAUCCAUUUGUUUACACCAGCAUUAUUACAAACAGGAGUGAUUCCUCACACUGUGAAAUCACGAUAGCUACAACAUCACAGGUUAAUAAGCAAUUUUCAGCUCUACUUCCAUCCUUUGGGACCACCAUCACAUAUGUGGUCUGCCAUUGACCAAAACAUCAUUAUGCAGCACAGGAUUGUACGUCAUUGAGGUUUAAGUUAACUUUUCCCAUGUUAUUGAUCAUCUUAUGCCAACUUUAUAAAAUACCUGUUCAAGUCUCCUGCCCAUUUUCUCUACUGGAUUUUUCCUUUUCCUUUGUGAUUUGAAAAAGUUACUUAAGUGUUCUGGCUACAAGCCCUUUGGCAGUUAUGAUUUGCAAAUGUCUUCUAUCACCCUAAAGAUGUCUUCCAGUCUUUAAUGAUUUAUUUUGAUGAACAAAAGUUAGUCAUAUCAUGGUCCCAUUUGUCAGUUUCUUCUCUUUUCCUUUUCUUGCUUAGGGAAGUGGCUGAGUAGGGUGUGGCAAGUGUCUGUAAAGCCAGUGACUAAGAGGUUGAGGCAGGAGGACUGUGAAUUGGAGGCCAACUUGGGCAACAUAACAAAACCCUGUCUCAAAAUUUAAAAAAAAAAUUAAAAAGAACUGGGGAGAUAGCUCAGUGGUAGAGCUUCCCUAGAUUCAAUAUUUAGUAUCACAAAAUAAUAACAAUAAUAAUAAUGAUUUUUAAAAAUUGUAAAGCUUCUUAUUUUCACAUUGAGGUCUCUAGUCCCCUUGAAAUUGAGGUUAAUAUGUAUUGUACAAUGGGAGUCAAGUUUUUUUGGUUUUCUGCAUGGACAUUGAAUUUAUUUAUUUAUUUGUUUACUUAUUUAUUUAUACCAGGGACUGAACCCAGGGACAAUUAAUCGGCCCUUUUUAGUUUUUACUUUGGGACAGGGUCUCAUCAAGUUGCUUGGGCCUCACUAAAUGGCUGAGGCUAGUCUCAAACUUGUGAUCCUCCUUCCUCAGCCUCCCAGGCACUGGGAUUAUAGGCAUAAGCCACCAUACCCAAGUGGAUGUCCAAUUAUUUCAGCAUAACUUUCUCAAAAAUUUUCUUCUCCCAACUCCAUUGAUAGUUCUCAAGUGUUCAUAUUUGGGGAAGGCUUCUAUUUGGAAUAAGGUAACUAAAAGAUGUUUCCAAGCUAAAAGAAGGAAAGGAAGAUCCGGAGAAGAGGAGAGGAGGUUGACAGGAAAGGAGGUCACCUACAUCUCAGAAUCUUUAAAGAUGAAAAUUCAGGGAAGUUUUUGAAAGAGCACUUUUAUUAAAGGAUUCCCUUCGGGUCCCAUCUCUAAUGUCCUCCCCAAGAAAAAGCAUCACCUUGCUACAGAUGGCCCUCAGAGGCACAGAGACUGCUCGCUCUGGAAGUCAGUUGGGUGGAACCCACUUAAGAAAGUCUUGGGGCAGGACUAGACUGGGCCUCCACUGCAUAGAGAAAUGGCUGAGUUACUCAGUGAUUUGCCUGGUGAGCUAGUCAUGCUGACAGCUCAGAGGAAGGGUUUGUUAAAUGAAGAUUGAAAUUCUCAGCUCCUCUGGAACAUUGGCAUAAACUUCUCAAGCAGAUACUAUGAGUAUAAAAGUUCUGAGGUUCUGGACACCGUCUUACAUGCCUGUAAUUUCAGCAAUUUAGGAGGCUGAUGCAGGAGGAUUGUAAGUUUCAAGCCUGCCUUGACAAUUUAGCAGAGUUAUAUCUCAAAUUAAAAAUUAAAAAUGUUUUAAAGGGAUGGUGGUAUGGCUCAGUGGUGGAACACUACUGGAUUCAAUUCCCUGAAUUGGGAAAAAAAAAAUUAUUUAUUUAUUUCUGAGGUUGAAAAUAAUUAUUCAAAGUAAAGGGAAAGGGCAUUGUUUCUCCUUAAGACACUAUUUUGGGUGGUAACCAUGGGUCACACUCAGGUUGAGUAGUUUUACACAUCUCUCUGGAUGAGCUGGGCUAGAGCUACCUAGAUGCUUUUCACAACUGAAAUAAAGUACAGAAAACAUAAAACAAUAAUUUACUUUUGUGAUGGAAGUUUUAAAAAUACAUCUUCUUUCCUCAACCGUGCUGCAUCCACACUUAUUUCUAGGGGAAAAGCGCCUACGUGAAGAUAACCAAAGUCACUUUCAUGAUAGCCCAGAGGAAAAGUAUUUAGAGAUCUAGUAUUUUCCUCAUUGAAACAUUCCUGAAGUGAUUUCCUUUAAAAGAGGAGACGCUUACUCAUCAUCUAUUGAGACAUAGAAAACAGGAAAUCAUUAAUAAUGUGAACAGACUAAGGUACUUGCUGUGGGCUGAAGGCAGAAACAUCUAAAGAUACAUAGCAUAAGCUACAUAUACAAUUUUAUUUUUUGGUACCAAUCCAUUAGAAGUGUAAGAUGAAACAAAUAAGGCUGAUUUUAACUAUAUUUUAUUUACAUUUUUCAUUUGUUUCAUACCAAGUCUUUGAAAUCCAGUGUGAUUUUUUAUAUCCACAUGUCAACAUUAACGCUAAAUUUUUAUCAGAAAUACUUGAUCUGUAUUUAGAUUUCAUAAAAUUUGUAAUUACAAAAGUAGAUUUAUAAUCAAGUUGUUCCAAAUGUACUUAAAUGUUUUCUAAUCAAUUAAUCUAGUGUUUAUUUUUCAAUUUAAACUUAAGUUAGUCAGAAUUAAAUUCAGGGCAUCUGUCACACUAGUCACAUUUCAAGUAUUUAGCAACCACUUGUGGCUGGUGACUAUUGCACUUAUGACUCAAGGAAGUUACAUGUUUCUUGGGUUUUCAAUUUAAAAAAAUAAAAAUCUGAUUAUCUUUGACCUUUAAGGAUCUGACCAUCAAGUUCAUGCCAUAAAACUAAAAGAAAGUAACAACAUUAGGGAUUUUUUUCUGUAAGAUUAGUAGUAAGGACUAGGAAUGUGGCUCAGAGGUAAUAUUUGCCUACAACUGAUGAGGCCCUGCACUCAAUCCCUAGCACUCCCCUCCACCAAAAAAAUAAUCAGUAGCAAUAUUUCCUUUUUUCAUUCCUAAUUUUAGUUAUUUUCAUCUCUUCUACCUCCCUUGGGGCAGAGGUUUUUCUUUGUUGGGAAAUUUAUGAUUACUGAUUCAAUAUCCAUAUUUGUUAUAGGUCUGUUGAGAUUUUUAUUUCUUCUUGAGUCAGUUCAGGUAAUGUGUCUGUUUUUGUGAAGUUGUCUAUUUCAUCCAGGUUAUCUAAUUUGUUGUCAUAUAAUUAUUCAUGACAUUCUCUCCAUCCCCCCACUCUUUUUUUUUUUUUUUGUCAGUACUGGGGACUAAGUCCAGGGCUGCUAUACCACUGAGUUACAUCCUUCCAGCCUUUUUAUUUUUUAUUGCAAGACAGAGUCUCACUAAAUAGCUGAGUCUGCCACAGAUUUUCGAUCCUCCCUCCUCAGCCUCCUGAGUUUCUGGAAUUAUAGACAAGUGCCACUGCACCCUGCUUUCAUAAUAUUUUUCUUAAUAUCCUUUUUAUUUCUGUAAGGUUGAUAAUAAUGGCCCUGCUUAUAUUUCUGAUUUUAGUUUCUUUGGUCUUCUUCCUUUUUUCUUAGUCUAAUAAAUAUUUGUCGAUCUUGUUGUUUCGAAAGAAUCAACUUUUAUUUAUCUCCACUCUAACCCUUAUUAUUUCCUUCCUUUGGUAGCUUUAGGUUUAGUUGGGCUGGAGCUACCUAGAUGCCUUUUCACAAAUGAAAUAAAGUACAGAAAACUUAAAUACCUUUUCUGUAUUCUAAUAGUGGAAGUUUAGGUUGUUGAUUUGAGAUGUUUCUUCUUUGCUAACAUAAGCAAUUACAACUUUGAAUUUCCCUCUAAGCACUACUUUAGCUUAUAAAAAUUGGUAUGGAAUGUUUUCACUAUUAUCAAAUUGUUUCCUAAUUUCCCUUAGGAUUUCUCCCUUAACCCACCGAUUACUGAGGAGUGAGUUUAAUGUCCACAUACCUUAUAAAUUUCUCCCAACUGUCCAUUAUUUAUUUCUAAAUUUGAUCCAAUGUGAUUAGAGAAGAUACUUUAUAUGAUUUCAAUAUUUUUAAAUUCAUUGAGAUUUGUUUUGAUCUAAUGCAUGAUCUAGACUGGAGGAUAUUCCCAACUGCACUUGAGAAGAAUGUUGUAUGUACAAUUGUUGGUGGAAUAUUCUGUAUAUGUCUCUCAAAUUGAUAGCAUUGUUCAAUUCCUCUAUUUCCUUAUUGAUUAUCUCUUUACUUUUCUAUCUAUUGUUGAGUAUAGGGUCUUGCAAUACCCAACUAUCAUUGAAUUUCCUAUUUCUCCCUUGAAUUCUGUCAAUUUUUUUCAUAUGUCUAAGAGCUCUUUUAUCAACUAUGUAUGUUUAUAAUUUUAUUUGAUGAACUGACACUUUAUCAUUAUAAAAUAUCCUUUGUUUCUAAUUUUUAAAAAAGUUGUCUUGAAAUCUACUUUAAGCCAUUUGAGUUAGCUUUUAUUACUAUUUGCAUGACAUAUAUUUUUCUAUCCUUUUAGCCUAUGUAAGUCAUUGAACCUAAAGUGUCUUAUAAACAGCAUAUAUUUGGGUCAUGCUUUUUCUCCAUCCAGCCAAUAUCUGCCAUUUGAUUGAAAGCCUUAAUCCAUUUAUAUUUAAUGUAAUUAUUGAUAAAAUAGGACUUACAUCUGCUAUUUUGUGUGUAAUAUACAUCCACUUAUAUACAGUUAUUCCUUGAUAUCUAUGGCAAAUUGGUUCCAGGACCCCCAUGGAUAUCAAAAUCUCUAGAUGAUUCAAGUCCCUUAUCUUAAAAACGGUGUAGUAUAUACCUAUACCUUACACACAUCGCCUCUUAUCCUUUAAGUCAUCUCAAGAUUACUUAUAAUACUCAUACAAUGUAAAAUAUGUAUAAAUAAUAAUAUUCACUCUACUGUGUUGUUUAGUAAAUAAUGACAAUAAAAAAGUCAGAACAGACAUAAUUUUUUCCAAAUAUUUUUAGUCCUUUAUAGGUUGAAUCUAUUGAUUCAAAAUUGAUAUAUAGAGGAAUGUAUAUAAAAUAUCUUUCCUCUCAAUUCAUUACUACCUUCUUGUGGUAUAUAUUUUCUAGUAUAUCAAUUGAAUUCACUUGUUUUUUUAAAUAUUUCUUCACAUUAUUUUCUUGGAGUUUUUUUUGGGAAAUUGCUAUUAACAUCACAAUUUAUAAAUAUCUCACUAGGAUUAAUACCAUCUUAACUUCAGUAGACUAUAAAAACUUAAUACAGGUCCAUUCUCUUCCCCUUCUUUAUGAUAUUGACAUAAUUUUUAUAACUAUAAGCCCAUUAAUAUAUUCUUUUGAUUAUCACUUUAUGCAAUUGUGAUUUUAGUCAUAUAGGAGAGAGAGUGGGUUACAAAAAUAUUUACCUACGUACUUACCUUUGCCAAUGUUCUUUAGGUUUUCAUGUGGAUAUGAGUUACCCUAUUGGGUCCUUUCAUUUCAUUCUGAAGGUUUCCUUGCAGAGCAGUCUGCUAGCAGUGAAUUUCCUGUUUUUGUUUAUCUGGUAAUGUCUUCCAAUUUUUAAAGAACUGUUUUGCUAAUAUGGAGUUUUAUAUGUACCAUUUUUCUAUAGUACUUUGAAUAUGAAAUUUCCCACCCUUCUGGCCUUUGUGGCUUCAUGAGACAUCAGAUGUUAAAUUUAUUGAGGAGUUAUCAUAUAUGAUGAGUUGUUUCUAUUGGGCAGCUCCUCAAGUUUUUCAUCAAAUUUGUGGACUUCUCAACAAUUAUUUCUUAAAAUUUUCUUUCACCUUCUUCCCUCUCUCCUCUCCAUCUGGAACUGCUGCUGUGCUUCUGUUAUGUUUGAUGGUGCCCCACAGUCUCAGAGCUUCUAAUUCUCUUUAUUGUUAUUCCCUAGUAAAGAAAUUAUUCUCUUGCUUUUCUUUAGCUCUUUGAAAAUGGUUUCCCUUUAGUUUUUUUUUUUUUUUUUGACAUAUUUAAAAUAGAUGAUUUCCUGUCUUUGUUUACACAAGUCCAACAUCUAGGCCUCCUCCUGGACAGUAUUCAUUGACUGCUGUUUUCGUUUACAUGGACCAUUCCUUCUUUGGAUGAAAACUAUUAUUCUCAAAAUAUACUGUGGGAGGGCUAGGAUUGCAGCUCACUGGUAGAGCACUUACCUAGCAUGUGUGAGGCACUGGGUUCAAUCCUCAGCACAAUAUAAAAAUAAAUAUAAAAAAAAGGUAUUGCAUCCAUCUACAACUAAAAAAAAAUUUUUUAAUAUAUUGUGGGAACUAUGGAAAACAAAUUGUCCUCUAUUUAUAAGGGUUUAUUUCUUUUGCCAUUUGUUGCUUCUGUUAUGGUCGUUACUCUUAAGUGACUUAACCACGUAAUUCUGUGUGGACUGUAUUCAUUGUCAUGUGUUAUGUGGAACAUUCCCAGGAAUUUCUGAAGCUAUGGACAUUUGAUUCCCCAGCUUUUCCAUUAAAAUUUUGCUCAGCUUGUUGUUUGCUCCACCUUGUUAUCACCAUCUCAAGUACCUGCCUGUUAAACAAUUGCCCUCAAGGAAAUAGUACUAUAUGACCUCUGAGUCAGAUCAAACAAAGACAAGCCUUGUAAGGAAGUCUUCCAAGGAACUUCAAGACUGGUCAAGACAGGCAAUUUUCAGGGAACUAGGCUUUAGGGCAACUCCAACCCCAUUUUUAUCCCUCCAUAGGCUGCUCAUUUUCAUUCUGGUUGCAAACUUUUUUUUAAGACCUGUCUGGAAAAAGGAGAAUGGAACUAGGGAAAUAAAAGAUACUACAGAGCUUGCUGUUCUGAGAUCUGAAUCAUUUUAUCUGAAAAAGUACUCUGAAUUGGUGUAAGCCUUUGCUUUUUGUUUUUGGUUUGUUUGUUUGUCUUUCCCUAGAGUUCUGAAAAAGUAACUUUGACAGUUUUAUCAGUGUGGUGAAUGGUACUGGCCACAUCUCUAGGUUGGAAUGCACUGCCUAUGGGUCAGGGGUAGAGCAGGGCUGAGGUUCUGAGGCUUACAGCAAUCACUGCUGCCCUUUACCAGAAGCAGAGAAAGAAUUUCAUCAUCUAAUGAUCACAGGAAAAAUUUAAAAAAAAAGGAAGAGGAGAUUGAAUACUGUUCUUUCUACCAUGAAUAUCCUAAAAGAGAUGUCCUGAUUCAAGAGACUUUUUUGGAGGCUCUGCAUUUGGAUUGCAUGAGCUAUGACUGGGUUUGUUAUCCAUAUCUAGGUCCAAAUGGAAUUCCAUGAAGAUGUCAUGACAGAAGUGAUUGGGAACCCUUGAUCAGCCAUAGGCCACCAGCUACAAAUGGCUCACAAGGCAGUUUGUGCUACAAGCACAUCUCUAGUCUGCAGAGGGUCAUCUGCAGAGAUGUUCAGAAAAAUGCUCUGAUCUCAGUUCGGACAGAACCAAGACCAGUUCCCAGGCUCUGGAUUUAUUAUUCACUUACUGAUGACAGAAUCUCCAUUUGACAGCCCCUUAAUUUAAAAUGAGAGAACUGUUGAUAUCGAGUAGACCCUGAAUGCUAGUUAACCUGCUAAUUUAUCAAACUGAAAAAAAAAGUGACUGAAUCUGUAAUUUUAUAUAGAAAAGAUCAUUGUGAACAUGAACUCCAAGUCUCUAUUGUUCACAGAAUUUGGAACUCUUACCUUAGGACUGCAGAUAUAAGCAGACCCAUGUGACCCAUGUGACUGCAGCACAAUUUUUGCUGACAGCCAGGAUUCUGGGUCUUUGGUAAGAUCUAACUCCACUCCAUACAUGGAGUAGGUGACUUAUCUAAGCCCCUAUAAUAAAAUACUUUGAUACACUUACCACCUUUUCCUUUUUCUUGGAAAAGAAAAAGAAAGGGGAGGAAAGGAAUAAAGAAAGAAUGAAGAGGACAAUACGCAUGUCUAGUUCUUUGGAAAUACAUAAAGAUAGUUUUAUUAGGAAAGUCAUGUGAGUCUCCUGUGAAUGUUCAGGAACAAAGUACAUAAUUACCAGGAAUGGCUGAGUUAUAAAGCAAGGAAAUGUACCUGAAGACUUCUCAAUCUUCCCUCCAGCCUCCUCACCCUAAAAAUUCAAAGUUUUUGUUUUUGUUUUUCAUUUCCUCAAGUGCCAAAUCUGUUUGACAUAAAGUAUGACAUAUUGAUUUAACAGAAAUUUCGAGAUCUGACAUUGUGCCAGGCAUUAUGUUAGGAACUGCAAACAGGAAGCCACUGUUUGUUUAAAAAUGAAACAAUGGCAAACUAUCAUAACACAGUGUAUGAAAAGUAUUAUUCAUGGCAUCAGAAAGUGACCUCACCUAGUUUGGGGGGCCAGGGAAUCAUCAUAUUUUCCAAAUAUUCCAAAUGAAUAUUUUAUUUCUUUAUAUAUUCAAUAAAUUAUAUUAAGCAACUACUACUCUGUGCCAGGUAGAAGGAAAAUACUAAUUUGGGAACAAAAGACAUAAUUGUUUAAGCUACCAUGUCAAUCUUCCACACUCCAUUUUAUGUGCAUAAAUCAAGGUCUUGAAUGGGAAGUUUGGAGAGACAUGAGCAGGAACACAGAGUGGUGAAGAGAGGAAGCCAGGAAUGGAGGCCAGUUCUCUUGCUUUACCCCAAAGUACUUUGCUAAUUGUAAAAACUUCCAAGAAUCCAAAACUGAUGAUAAAGUUAGGUUUAAAACUAAAUUUCUUCAUGUAUAUCUAAAAAGAAUAAAUCUUUUUAAAAAAACUAAAUUUCUGUACUCUGUGGACUUGGAAAACUUCCAGAAUAAACUAACCAGCCAGAGUAAGGAGGUAUAAUAAAGUAAUGGUAUAAAUUCCUCCAUGAAACAUGGCUGUUAACAUGGAAUGCCAUAUUAACAACAAUAGAAACAACCUGUUAAUAUGGAGUGUCAACCAUAGUCUGAAAGGGACCAGGACUGACAAAGCUGCACCCCUGUGCACCCCCCUCUUGGGGCUUUACCCUCUUGACCUGCUCAGCUUUAGAGAAUACCAAUGACCUGAGCUAUGAAGUUCUACAGUUGUCCAUGAUGGGCCCUAUUUCCCUGUAAAUGUCCCUCCCCUUUCAAUUUUCUCACUUUAUAUCUUUGCCAGGUUUUAUUUUUCUAAUUAAAGUUACUGAGCCCUGAGGUUCUCAUCCACCAUAAUCUAGGUUCAGGUUCAGGAACAUUUGCAGGGAGGAAGUGGGUGGAAGAAGACAGGUCAAAUUUGUACAGCCAGACAAGUUAAAAAGGAAAAAUUACUUAAAUGAGGUCCAGGCCCAUCCAGAUAAAGCAGAUGGAGAGCAAAGGUCCAGUUACAUGUUGAGCUGGAAGGGGAUGGAGAGACAGGCUGCCAACAGAGACUUUUCUAGAAGCCAACAAAUAUAUCACCACUUCCUUGUUCCCUUGCAAAGCACAAGGCCUUCGUGUCAGAGAAGAGGAAGAAAGACCUAGGGAGGAAGGGUUGAGAAAGCACUGGUGGGAGCAGGAGAGGCCCUCUGCUGUGCUGCAAUUACUGAUUGUCUUGCACUUGGCUUAGACCUUGCCUGCAGGUAACAAGUGACCUUGUGGAGGAGGGAAGACAGUGAGGAGCUUCUGAAUCAGCCAGAUGAGGGGGAGGGGUACAGCAGAUGGGAAAGAUCAGCAGCAUACCAGGUAUGAGGAGGGCAGGACAUGGGUACUUCGCAUCCAGCUCAGUCAGACUGUCUGGAUCUGCCGGGUCCACCAUACAGGCCUGUUAGAAGUUUCCAACUUCUCUCUGUUUCCUCACCUAAAUCACUAGUCUAUGAUGUAGGUCUACUAACACCCCACAUCACAGACUACUGGGAAAGCAAUGUAAAGCACUAGCACCCAGAAAAUGCUCUAAUUAAACCUUUUAGUUGGGGGUGCUCUUUUGGUACAGGCCAAGCCCAACUGGAAAUGCAAAUGUGAAAUCGGUCUCUUGCACAGCAAACAGAGUGAUCCACUGUUGUGGAGCCCAUGGAAGAUGCUGCAUGCAGCUCUGAGUUUUUAUCAUGUCAGCAGAACACAAACCUCAGGCCUGUUAAGUCCAUGAAAGGCUUGGUGAACUUGGCUCCCAAUGUCUCCAUCUCAUCAGAGAAUUUUACAGUUAUUUUUCAAAGGUUUUUGGAUAUUUUUAUUUGUUUCCUAUUUAGACAAAUGCUUAAAAAAAACAAUUACUUACUGUAAAUUUAUUCCAUGUGUUUCUGAUUAAUUUAUAUUUAUUUAAUCAGCACCCUUUUGAAAGAAGUGCCUAAUGGCCAAGUUGGUUUUUAGAAAUCCCUACAAAGCAACUUUUUCCCAAAUAUAGACUUGAGAUGAAUUUUACUGAAUGUGCAGGAAGAUUCCAAAUUGUGAUAUCUGUAUAAACCAGUGAUUACAGAAGAAAAACAAUUUUCAAUAGCUUAAGGACAAUUCAAGAUGUUCUAAGAUGAAGAUAUCAUUAAUAAUGAUCAAUGUUUCUUGACACUAUCUUUAUUUGUCUCCCUCUCUUUUUCACCUUCUUAUUUUGUAUAAUUAAAUAACCAGUUGUAUUAUUUAGGGCUGACAAUUUCUCCUAAAAUGCCCUUAGAACAGGGACCAUAUAUGUGAUUCUCAGCACCCUGCCCAGUGUCUAUCCCAUAGUAAGUGCACAAUACAUAUUUAUUGGAAGAAUAAAUGAGAAAGCCUACCACAGAGCCGUAAGGAGCUGUUUGUAACAUUUAAGGAGUAGAAAAAGCAGCUACUGUUAUGGCAAGAUGCAAUAAAUCACUGAGUCAAUCUUAAAACAGAAGAUGGAACCAUCUUUAUUCACCAGCUGGUGGACCAACAAGCAGGCUGCAAGUCUACACACUUCAACCCCCUCCAGGGGUUAGAGUACACAUUUUAAAGCAUGGCAGUACAUUAAUCAUAAGUGGCUGGUGCUAUGAUUCUAAACCAUGAACAAAUCAUAAUAUCUAAAAUCAUAAGCAGAAGGGGAAGUGGGUCAAAAUAACCCUAGUUGAAUGCAAAUUAAAGAAUAGUAGUUACUAAUGUCUAGACAAUCAUUAACAUUCUAACAAGUACAGUAUAUAAGAAUAGAAGGAACAAUUUUGCCAUUUUGUUUUGCCAUUAUGUUAUGCUAAGCAAUUGUUGGUAGGUACACUGGCAGGGUUGUCCCAAGGGAGAAGUGUUUCUUAUAUGAUAUGGAGUUUCAGGGCAAAAUAGUCUAUCUGGUCAUUGCCCAUAUAGCAUGACCCAUAACACUACAGCCCAGGAAAGAGAGAUAAGCAGUCUAGAUGGUGGGAGGAACUAGCAAAGUGUGAUGUCAGUGAAGCGGGAAUACAGAGGUGGUCUACUGUGCAUGAUAAAAACUGGAUUAGGAACAUGCAACCCCCUGAUCUUGGCAACAGGGAUGUCCACAGAAUGGUAGGAGUGGGAACCAAAUGGGAAAGAGUUGAAGAAUUAAUUUAAGGCAAGAAAAUGGAAGCAAUAAGUACAGACAGAAGAUUGAUUUUUAAAAAAUAUAUUUUUGUAGUUGUUGAUAGACCUGUAUUUUAUUUAUUCAUACAUAGUGCUUAGAAUUGAACCCAGUGCCUCACACAUAACAGGCAAGUGCACUACACUGAGCCCAGCCCCAGCCCCAAGAAGACUGAUUUUUAAUGGGAGGAAAAAGGAUGCUUAUCUAUGAAUUCUAGGCUUCAUUCAGGGCAAUCAAAAAUUGAUGAUGAUGGAAAUAUUAGAGUGCUACAGUCUGACUGGGCACUCUCCCCCCUUCUGAUUAAUUAAACAACAAGCAAUGUGGCUUAAGGACCGUGCCUGGUAGGUUGUCCAAUUCAACAUAUGGUUCUUACCCGUCAUCGGAAAACUGACCNUUGUUCCCUUGCAAAGCACAAGGCCUUCCUGUCAGAGAAGAGGAAGAAAGACCUAAGGGAGGAAGGGUUGAGAAAGCACUGGUGGGAGCAGGAGAGGCCCUCUGCUGUGCUGCAAUUACUGAUUGUCUUGCACUUGGCUUAGACCUUGCCUGCAGGUAACAAGUGACCUUGUGGAGGAGGGAAGACAGUGAGGAGCUUCUGAAUCAGCCAGAUGAGGGGGAGGGGUACAGCAGAUGGGAAAGAUCAGCAGCAUACCAGGUAUGAGGAGGGCAGGACAUGGGUACUUCGGCAUCCAGCUCAGUCAGACUGUCUGGAUCUGCCGGGUCCACCAUGCAGGCCUGUUAGAAGUCUCCAACUUCUUUCUGUUUCCUCACCUAAACCACUAGUCUAUGAUGUAGGUCUACUAACAUCCACAUCACAGACUACUGGGAAAGCAAUGUAAAGCACUAGCACCCAGAAAAUGCUUCAAUAUCAACAAUGAUUAAUUAAACCUUUUAGUUGGGGGUGCUCUUUUGGUACAGGCCAAGCCCAACUGGAAAUGCAAGUAUGAAAUCGGUCUCUUCUCACAGCAAACAGAGUGAUCCACUGUUGUGGAGCCCAUGGAAGAUGCUGCAUGCAGCUUUGAGUUUUUAUCAUGUCAGCAGAACACAAACCUCAGGCCUGUUAAGUCCAUGAAAGGCUUGGUGAACUUGGCUCCUGAUGUCUGCAUCUCAUCAGAGAAUUUUACAGUUAUUUUUCAAAGGUUUUCGGAUAUUUUUAUUUGUUUCCUAUUUAGACAAAUGCUUAAAAAAAUUACUUACUGUAAAUUUAUUCCAUGUGUUUCUGAUUGAUUUAUAUUUAUUUAAUCAGCACCCUUUUGAAAGAAGUGCUUAAUGGCCAAGUUGGUUUUUAGAAAUCCCUACAAAGCAACUUUUUCCCAAUAUAGACUUGAAGUCAAGUUUAUGAAUGCGCAGGAAGAUUCCAAAUUGUCAAACUGUAUAAACCAGUGAUUACAGAAGAAAAAAUGAUUUUCAACAGCUUAAGGACUAUUUAAGAUGUUCCAAGAUGAAGAUAUCAUUAAUAAUGAUCAAUGUUUCUUGACACUAUCUUUAUUUCUCUCCCUCUCUUUUUCACCUUGUUAUUUUGUAUAAUUAAAUAACCAGUUGUAUUAUUUAGGGCUGAAACAGUUUCUCCUAAAAAGCCCUUAGAACAGGGACCAUAUAUGUGAUUCUCAGCACCCUGCCCAGUGUCUAUCCCAUAGUAAGUGCACAAUACAUAUUUAUUGGAAGAAUAAACCGGAAAGCCUACCACAGAGCCAUAAGGAGCUGUUUGUAACAUUUAAGGAGUAGAAAAAGCAGCUACUGUUAUGACAAGAUUGCAAUAAAUCACUGAGUCAAUCUUAAAACAGAUGAUGGAACCAUCUUUAUACACCAGCUGGUGGACCAAAGGGCAGGCUGCAGGUCUACACACUUCAACCCCCUCCAGGGGUUAGAGUACACCUUUUAAAGCAUGGCAGUACAUUAAUUGUAAGUGGCUGUUUCUAUGAUUCUAAACAAUAAACUGAUCAUAAUGUCUAAAAUCAUAGGCCGGAGGGGAAGUGGGUCAAAAUGACCCUAGUUACUAAUGUCUAGACAAUCAUUAACAUUCUAUCAAGUACACAAUAUAAGAAUAGAAGGAAUAAUUUUGGCAUUUUGUUUUGUCAUUAUGUUAUGCUAAGCAAUUGUUAGUAGUUACACUGGCAGGGUUGUCCCAAGGGAGAAGUGUUUCUUACAUGAUAUGGAGUUUCAGGGCAAAACAGAGUCUGUCUGGUCAUUGCCUAUAUAGCCUGACCCAUAACCCUACAGCCCAGGAAAGAGAGAUAAGCAGUCUAGGUGGUGGGAGGAAACUAGCAAAGUGUGACAUCAGUGAAGCGGGAAUACAGGGGUGGUCUACUGUGCAUGAUAAAAACUGGAUUAGGAACAUGGAAACCACUGGUCUUGGCAAGAGUGAUAUCCACAGAAUGGUACGAGUGGGAACCAAACGGGAAAGAGUUGAAGAGUUAAUUUAAGGCAAGAAAAUGGAAGCAAUAAGUACAGAUAGAAGAUUGAUUUUUAAAAAAAAAAAAUAUUUUUGUAGUUGUUGAUAGACCUUUAUUUUAUUUAUUCAUACAUAGUGCUGAGAAUUGAACCCAGUGCCUCACACAUGUCAGGCAAGUGCACUACACUGAGCCCCAGCCCCAGCCCCAAGAAGACUGAUUUUUAAUGGGAGGAGAAAGGAUGCUUAUCUAUGAAUUCUAGGCUUCAUUCAGGGCAAUCAAAAAUUGAUGAUGAUGGAAAUAUUAGAGAAUCAAGGGAGAGAGUGUCUUAGUCCAUUUUGUGCUGCUAUGACAAUAUCAGAGAUGGGGUAACUUAUAAAGAAUAGAAAUGUAUUUCUUACAGUUCUGGAGGCUGAGAAGCCCAGUAUCAAGUUGCUGACAUCUUGCUAAAUCCUCCCAUGGUUCAUCCCAUGGCAGAAGGAGACAGGGUGUGAGAACAAGAGGAGACUUAGCUCACUUUUAUCACAAAACUACUCUCUCAAUAAAGAGCCCCCUCCAGCCAAGACAGCAUUAAUCCACUCACAAAGGCAGAGCCCUUGAAGGCCUCACCUCCCAAAAUCGUUGCCUUGGAAAUUAAGUUGUAACACAUGAACUUCAGGGGACACAUUCAAAUCAUAGCCAAAAGGUUAACCAAUAAUCUGUGAGAAAGUAUGAAGAGCUAUGGCUGGCUCAGAGUGAGGAGUGAGGGGAUGAUCACAUUGUUACUCUCUGGAUCAGCUUCUCCAGGAAUGAAUUUAGAUUUCUCUAGUUUUCUCCCUUCCAAAUGUCUUAUAAAAGUUCUCAUGGGAGCAUCUUCCUCUAGUCCAAAUAUAUAGCCUAUGCCACAUACUAUCAAACACAAAUGGGCAGAGCAAAUGUCAACCUACAGUAAGAAUGAAAGAUGACCCUAUAGGAGCAAUGGGCAGCUUGUCCUCCGGUAGAAAAUUCUGCAUUUAUAUGACUUUUAUCUAUCUCCUGUCUAGGGACACCCUAUAUACAAAGAAGAUUUUUUUUUUUAAUCUAGACAAUCAUUAACAUUCUAAGUGGUUAGGGUACAUUGCACCCUAACCACUUAGAAGGGGUGGGGUGAGGACUGGGGAUUGAACCCAUGUGGGAUUUACUAUUGAACUAUAUCCCCAGCCCUUUUUAUUUUUUAUUUUGAAACAGGGUCUUAUUAAAUUGCUGAGGCUGGCCUUGAACUUUCCAUCCUCCUACCUCAGGCUCCUGAGCCCCACAGCUCUGACUGGCUAUGGAAGAAAUGUUCAAAAACAGUCAUUUGGAGACAUUUAACUCAGAUCUUUUAUUUUUCUCCUCAGAUGUCAAAAAAGAACAAAGCUAGUCAUUAACAUCAGUUUAAGCAAUGAGGACAGAUUUCCACUCAGAAACAAACUAUUGCAAUAGGAAAGAGUGCCCAAUGCAAACCAAACUCAACUUGUGCAGAGGUGAAUGGACCUUUUAAAGGGAGAAUGAGGGAACAGAAAAGGGGUGAGCAUCCAGUCCUAGUGAAGUGGGUGUUGCAAAAAGCAUGAAGGAGCAGGGGAUUGGUCAGUGUGAAUCCCACUGAAAGUCCUAACUGCAACUUACAGGAAGUUAGAUUCCUAUCUGCCCACACAGACUAGGGGCAAGAGAGUUAUUACCUUCAUGAAUAUUUGCAUUGCAAAGAGUCUUGAAGACAGUUCUGGGUGGGAAAAGAUUUACAUCUCAAAGGAGCAGAGAAAGGCUCUAUAAAGGUAAGCUAUCCAAAGUAACUGAUCUGAGGAGGGGUUCUGGAGCUUAUCUGCCUCUCUCAAGGUUCAGAGCAGGAGCAAGUUAAGUAAAUUUUCCAGGCAGCAUUGGGCAUUCUAGACAGGUGUUUCCAGGGAAUCUAGGGCCUAGCCUUGAGCUUUUAGAAACUGUGCCAGUAUUUCUGGAAGCCUCUUACUGUGGGAGGGUGGACCUCUGUCUCAUUGUCCUGAGAGUCUAUAAUUUUUAAAGGUCGAGAUUGAGGCCUAAGAUGAGAAAAGGACCUAGAAGAGCCUAGAAGAGCCUAACUAGUGUUUGGUCAAGGAAAGAGUCAUUGCCAUUAACCAUUUCCAAAUACAAACAGAUCUCACUAGGGUACACACACCUACGUGCACAAACCCUCACCUCUGGGCUGGCCUAGUUAAUCCACCAGUCUGGAGCUCCUUCAAAAGAGUGGCUGGCUGUUCCUUCAACAACCAAAAAAAUUAACAUUGAUUCUAUAAUAAUAUGCUGUUUAUGCUACAAUUCCCAGGUGUCCCAAAAUAUCUUAUACGACUUUUAAAAAGUCCUUGGUUAUGCUUCUUGUGUCUCUUGCAGUUAUACCAUUCUCCAACAUCAGUUUGUGUUUGUUUUUCAUAAUGCCGGCUUUUUUUUCUUUUUCUGGUACUGGGGACUGAACCCAUGGGUGCUCUACCACAGAGCUACUUCCCCAGCCCUUUUUAUUUUAGUUUGAGACUCUCUCACUAAGUUGCCCAGGCUGGACUUGAACUUGCAAUCCUUCUGCCUUAGCCUCCCGAUUUGCUGAGAUUACAGGCAUGCACCACUGAGUCCGGCAGACACUGGCAUUUUGAAUGGUUCAGAUUAAAUGCCUUACUGUAAUAUCUCAUUUUCAGCAUUUGGUUGUUUCCUUGGAAUUCAAUUCAAAUACAACAUUUGUUUUGGGGUUGCUGUUUUGGCUUUUUUGGUUUGUUUCUUUUCUUUCAUAUGGUAUUGUUGAUUGAAUACAGCCAUGCUCUGUCGCUGAGCUAUAUCCCAACCUUUUUUAUUUCUUAUUUUGAAACAGGUCUCCCUAAACUGCUCAGGCUGGCCUCAAAUUUGGGGUCCUCCUGCCUCAGCCUCUUGAGUUGCUGUGAUUACAGGCAUGCCCCACUGGGCCCAGACAGAUCCAAUAUUUGUGACAUCUCAUACAUGAGGGUGUAUAUUUUUAGUUGCAUUCACAUCAGAAGGCACAGAAUGUCAAUUUGUCCCCAUUGGUGUUGACUUGGUUAGGGUGGGGCAGAUCACUCCAUUAUAAUGGGACAUUUUCCUCUUUUGAUUAGCAAGUAAUCUGAGAAGUAAACUGUUCAAGACUAUGAACAUGCAGUUCCCCAGCACAAGCCAUCCAAUUGUUUUAGCAUCAAUUGAGGACCUUUUCCUGAAUCAAUUAGUCUUAGGAGUUACAAAAUGGUGAUUUUAUUCCUUCAAUAUUUAUUAACUUAAAUUCAUCAGAUAAGAAUAGAUUUCCCUGCUUUCUUUUUGCCUAAAUACAUACAUACAUACAAAACAUUCAUAUACGUAUACCAAAGACUUGGUGACCUUACACAACAGGAAUUUCUCACAGUUCUGAGGCUGGGAAGUCUGAGUUCAAGGUGGCAGCAAGGUAGAUUUCAUUCCCAGUUCACUCCACUUGGCCUGUAGGCUACCUAUUUCUCACAUGGGGAGAGAGGGAGAGAGAGAAAGUUUAUACUCACAUUUACUCUUAUAAGGUCACUAAUCCUCUCAGAUUAGGAUUGAUCUUUACAAGUUCAUUUAAUCUUUUAAAAAAAUCUUUAUUUUUUUAAUUUGACCUCAUUUCAUCUCUGUAAAGUUCCUCUUUUCAAGUUCAGCUACAUUGGGGGUUCAGGGCCUCAACGCAUGAAGUUUAAAGUGACUUUCAGUUCCUAAUGUGGACUAUCAUUGUCUUUUGUUUAGUAUUUUAUAAUUCAACUGCCAACAUUAUUCACUUCUUCCAAUAUUUUAUUAUAAAAUUUUCCAAAUACACAGGAAAGUUGAAAAAAAUUCAUAGUGAGCACCUAUAUACACAUCCUCUCUGCUCUACAAUUAGCAUUUCACUAUACUUGCUUUAUUGUGAUUUUUAAUUUGGGAUCCAGUUGUCUUAAAUUUGGCUAGUGAUGUAAGACUACUUUGUGACAAGGACUGACUUUAUUAGACAUAACCACCCUAGAUAAUAGAUGAAGCAAACUUUUUUUAAUUGAGGUUAUGAUUUAGCAUAUUAAUACUUUUAAUCAGGUACCUGCUUAUAGAGCAAUAGCCUACUAGAAUGGGAAGUGGGGUGCAGGGGCUGGCCUUCACCUCCUCUGUCUGACAACCCUGAGGAAAUGGAGCCACCAAGUGGCCACUGUGCACAGCAACCUCGCGGGGGGCCUCCAGGAGCCUCCAGAAUGAGGAUCAAGCUGUGCAUUUCAACUUCUGUACAUAACUAAGACUCAUGCCUCCCAGUGGGAAAGAAACAACCACUUUUAGAAAAGUCAGGACAUCAUCUUUCAGACAAUUAAGCAGAAUGCUUAAAAUAUUUAUUUGUCACUCUUUCAAGAAUCUAAAUGACCACAAUGCAAAUGAACACAAUGUCAAAGCCUUUACUCCUGGGUAAGUUUUUGUUUGUUUGUUUGGGGUCUUUUUCUUUGUUUGAAUUUGGGUUUUUUUGUUUGUUUGUUUUGUUUUGUUUUGGUUGGUUGGUUUGUAAUGGGAUUAAAUGACAAGUGUUUUACCACAGAGUGACAUCCUCAGUUCUUUUCAUUUUUUGAGUCAGGGUCUUACUAAGUUGCUGAGGGUCUCACUCACUAAGUUGCCCUGGCUGGCCUUGAACUUUCAAUCCUCCUGCCUCAGCCUCUCAAGUCUCUGGAAUUACAAGCCUGUGCCACUAUGUUCUUUGGUACCAGGGAUUGAAUCCAGGAGCACUCAAUCAUUGAGCAACAUUCCCAGCCUUUUUUCAUUUUUUAUUAGAGACAGGGUCUCACUAAGUUGUUUAAGGCCUCGCUAAAUUGCUGAGGCUAGCUUUGAACUUGCAAUCCUCCAGCCUCUGCCUCCUAAACUGCUGGGAUUUAGGUGUGUGCCACCACACCCAGCCAUCCCUGGAUAGUUUUUAAUUUCUUCCACCAGUAAAUUUAUUGGACAAUAAUAUGGACAUACCCAGAAAUGAAAAAACAUCUCCAACUGUACAUAAGAAAUGGGAGAAAGGGUUAUUAAGAUGGGAAAAGGCUAUGUAAUGGGGGAUAAGGCUCAUAUCCUCCCAAAUGCAUCUACUUAUGCUUGUUUCAUAACUGAGAGAUGUGUCAGGAAGGGGAUGGGCAUUCCAGAAAGCCAAAAGGAGAUAGACCUCCUUGCUUAAAAUUAAUGUGAAAGAACAAGAAGGGCCCUCACACACAUACCAGUUGUAAAAUGAAUUCAUAUCUGUUGCAAAUAUAAUAAUUUACAUCUAUGACACUGAAAUUGAGGUAGCUGUUAUAACUUGCCACUGUAACUUGCUGGGAUUGUUUUUAAUUUGUUAACAAAGAUACAUAUAUUACUCUAUCACAAAUUCAUUCUAAUAGCUCUCUGUAUAACUGGUUUCCUUUUAAUCUUGCACAUUUGAUUUUAUGUAUUUUAAAACAUGCUGAAAGAGAUCACCAGGUCCACCAACUGUGGUUUGGGGAUAUUGCCCUGCAGUUGCAAGGGAGCUUGGGAACAGCAUUUCUUUGUGCUGGGCUGUGUUAGGGCCUGCUAAAAUUCAGAGCUCUCUUUCUAAAAGAGAUAGAGAUAUUUACUGGGAAGAACCAGCCAUAAUGUAUUGGCCACAAUAUAUUCUUGGUUAAGGUUAUAAACUUCAGUUGGUGCCAAUUUGAUGAUAUUGUUGUUAUUUGGGUGUUUUUUAAAAAAUCAUUUGUUUAUUUGGUCUAUCAGAGCCUGAAGCAUUUGGAGAAUCUCUAUACCUUCCCACCUGUAUUUCCUUUGUUAUUUUAUGCCAGGCUUCUUUACUGUGAGAUCAUACCUUGAUAACUACUUCUUUAUUGGACAUGCAUUCCUUUGAGUGUUCACAAUUCAGCCUUGGUAGGUUAAGAUAAUGAUCCUGCAUUUUUUUUCCUGAGUCAAUGAGUCAUUUUCAUCCUAUGGUUGUAUAUUUGUUGUUCCAAUUGAUUCAGUCAAAUCCAUUGAUUGAUUGAUUUGCCAGAAAUGUUUGUUUGUCCUUAUUUUAUUGUGCUUUCUAAAAACCUUCUCAAUGUGAGGUUUUCAUGGGGGUUUUCCUGGUUCAUUGGUUGGUUUCUUCUGAAGACAUAUAUAUAAAUAUGAAGACAUAUUUAUUUUAUUUUGUUUUGUUUUAAUGUUUCCUUUUUGUUUUUUUAAUGUUUCCCCUUUUAAAUAACUAGUUUAAGAUUAUAAUUCAAAAUCAUUACCUUUUCUACCUUCCAUUAUUUUCUUUCCUUCUCCUCUGCCACUUGAUUUUAGUUGAAUAUGUUUUUAAUGUUUACCUUUCUGUUUUGCACUAUAAUCUCUUUCAGCUCCCAGAAGCAAAAAGGUAGGACUGGGGACAUAGCUCCGUCAGUAGAGUGCUUGCCUCACAUGCACGAGGCCCUGGGUUCAAUCCCCAGCACCACCAAAAAAAAAAAAAGAAAGAAAGAAACUAAAAAGUAAAGAAAUUGACCUACUCGCCCUGUUUUCUACCUCUGCUUUCCUUCCCUUUUAGAUAGCAUUCUGAGGAUGUUUUCUCCAUUGCCAGAGGGUAUAAUACUUAUAAUUUAUUCUAGCGUUUCAAUUGCUGGAGUUGUUUUAGAUUCUAAUUUAUUAAAUAGACUUAAAAUAUAUUAUCAUGCCAAGUGCAGGUGCAAGUGGUGCACGCUUAUAAUCCCACCAAGAUAGCAACUUUGAGGCCACCCUUGACAACUUAGCAAGACCCUGUCUUAAAAUUUUAAAAGGUUUUUAAAGGGCUAGAGAUGUUCCUCAGUGGUAGAGUGCCCCUGGGUUCAGUCCCCAGUACUGGAAAGAAAAAAGAAAUAGUACCAUCAUUACUCUUGUUAACAGAUUUUCUCCCAUUCAUCUGUGUGUGUGUGUGUGGGGGGGGCUACUGAUGAUUGAACCCAGGGCCUGGAACAUGCUUGAUGAGCACUCUACCACUGAGCUACAUCCCCAGCUCCAUCCAUUUCUGUACGGCUUCUUCCUCUAGCAGUGUCAUCACAAAAGCCUAUGGAAACUAUAUGAGUGCUUGCAUGUUAAAAUGGGGAGGCGGGGAUAGUUAAAUCUGAUCAUAAACCUUCCUUUAAUUCUUCUUUGGGUUCAGAACUCUGCCUCUUCUCCCUUCUCCCGACAUCCCUUACUUGGGGUUUUCUCUGCCUCUACUUCUCAAAGAUCACAAGGAGAGAGAAUGUGAGCUGAGUUAUGAAGCCAUAGGCAUUCCUAGCAUUAAUGACACUCACAGGAAAACAACAGCCUGACUCCCUAUGACCUGGUCAAACUGUCCAGAGAAGAGGUGUCUCCAGAGACAGGUCCAAGGUCUUCCCAGAAAGAAGGGGGAACACCAUACAGGAACAGCAGGGUCCUUGAUUUAUGUGAUGGAAAAGAACUUCAGCACACACCAGUUAGAGACAGAAAAGGAAACUUGGUGAGAGGCGGGUGUUGGAAGGUCCAAGAAAGCUUAUAGUGGUCUGGUCAUUCUCAGGAUCCUUAAGUUUUCAUGGUCUUUAUCUAAUCAAUAGAUAAUGCUGGAAAGUCCCCUAAAUCACAAGCUUCUUAAAAUGUUGUAUCUCUCUUUGCUUAAUCUGUUCAUUGGGGGAAUAAUUAAUAGUGUGCAGGUAACCUUACAGCUUUCCCAGGAAUCUGAGAGUAACAGGCCUGGGAGACUGGUUUAGGGACUGAUAGGUCUGGAGAAAUAGCUGGACCUUCUGAAUUGUAUUUCCUGUUCUUCCUGUUUGUCUCCUCUCUGCUUAUUUCUUAUUUAUUUUGCCCUACCUCAAAACCACCCAGGGCAGUCAGAGGUGACAGAAUUGUGCAAGGAAAGUGUGUCAGUAAGCCCCAGGCUGGCCAUGUGAGCCCUCCAACUAGAAGUGAGGCUUCCUCCCCAGCCUCUAACCUACACCAACAGGCCAGAGGAACAGAAAUGUUUCAAGGAGGAACAGUCUAGUGCCUAUUAACCCCCUUUAAAGGAUUUAUAAAAACCCAAGACUUGAGUCAGAAGGUUACAUGAGUUGAGAGAGCCAAGAGCAAUAGGACCAGAGGCUUCCAGAGUACUAUCCUUGAAAAGGCAGUCAUUCUUAGGCAAAGCUCGGGUACUCAGAGAAACAGCCUUAAAACUUUUGACAUUUGUGGAUUGUAAAAUGGGGAGGGGAUGAUCCCAAAUAAUUUGAAGAGAUCAGAUUCACCAAACAGAUCUUGACUUUUAUAAGCCUUUUUUUUUUUUUUUUUUGGUACCAGGGAUUGACCCAGGGACACUCAACCACUGAGCCACAUCCCCAGGCUUAUUUUGUAUUUUAUUUAGAGACAGGGUCUCACUGAGUUGCUUAGCACCUCACUUUUCCUGAGGCUGACUUUGAACUCUUGAUCUUCCUGCUUCAGCUUCCCAAGCUGCUGGGAUUACAGGCAUGCACCUCCACACCCAGCUUUAAAUUUUAAUGGUAGAAGACAACAUGAUUAUAAAUGCUCCAAAGCAAAAAAGUAAGAAGCCAACUAAAUCAUAAAUUUAAUUCAAAAGUUCAUGAGCACUGACUACGCAGCAUUGAACAAGCUGCACAGCCCAGUAGGUAGGCAGCGUUGCCAUUCCCACACAAUGGGGCAUGCAGCCUCAAGAAAGUAAGCUGAUUUGAACCCAGGUAUGACCACGGAACCCAAGGUCUACAUCACAACAUGACACUGAUUAAUACAGAUCAUUUAUUAAACAUUCAAAGAAACAGCAGUCCUAAGGCUUUCGUAAGGUCCACUUGCUACAACUUAUUUGUAUUGCAUUUUGGAAUUUUAAGUUUACCAUUUGAGGCAGUUGCUCUAUUCUGGUCCUAUUCCAUAUUUAGAAAAAUAAUUACAGAAAGGUUGGAUCACUUGCAGAAGCUCAGAAAAACAACAGAAAUUGGGUGUGUAUUUCUGACACUUUCAUUUGGGCACUUAGAGCUUGGACAUCAGGGAACAUACUUGGAGAAGCAGGGAAAGGAAAGUUGUCUUAGUCUGUUUUCUGUUGCUAAUCUCACAAUACCAUAUCCUAGGUAAGUUAUAAAGAAAAGAGGUUUAUUGAGGCUCUCAGUUCUUGUCCAAGGUCAAGGGGCUGCACAUGGCCUUCUUAUUGGCAGUUCUGAGGCAGUGCAGGGCACCACAUGAUGAGAGACAGGGAGCUCAGGAGAGGUCUAAUCAAACUGGCUUUUAUGUCGACUCAUUCCCAAAAUAAUUCAUUAAUUCAUUAAUCCCAUUAACUCAUUACUAAACUCUGAAUUCAGAGACCUAGUCAUCUCUUAAUGAUGUACCUAGUCCCACCUCUCAUAAGGGAAAUCUCAUAAUGUGAAUCAAAUUUCAAUGAGAGUUUUGGAGGAGACAACUCAUAGCAUAUACUAUUUGGUCUGGACUCAACUGUAGGCAUUGUUUUAACCACUACUCAAAAGCUCAAAAAGCUCUAGGAAUAUCUUUCUGUUCAUUCAAAAACAGCAGUACCUCUGUGCCUAGCAACGGGUUGCAUAGACAUAUAGUAUUCAGCAGAGAACAGGGGACAAACUAUCCAGCUUUUCAAUUGACAGUCCAGAUUUCUUCACACCAAGAAUGGAAACUAAAAAGUUAGAAAACUACCCCCCCACCGGGGUGGGGAGAACAUGCUCUCUGGCUAACAUAGCCUAGCUUAAUUUAUAUAUGUAUAUCUCCUGACUUUCAUUUCUGUAAAUUGUAACUGCUUCUGUAAAACCAGUGGAUAAACAAUCUAAAUGAAUUCUCCCCCAUGUGAUCAAACUGCAUGGAUUUCAUUAUCCGUUUUUCAUUGUUUGCUUAUUUCUUAUGCAGUUGAACAAUCAGCCACCUGUUUUCCAGACAGAUUCCCUGGCAGAGCUGCCAGUAACAAAAGUCCCAUUUUGUCCCAGGCAUUGGGACCUUAGUAUUCAUAGUAUUUAAGGAGUGAUUACUUCUCAGAAUAUACUAUAUUGACUGCUUCUAGAAUUGUUUUAAAGGUAUAAAGACAAGUCUGAAAUUGGUAAAUAGUAGAUAUUAAUAGAAAGAAAAUAAAAUAAUCAGCUUUGAUCAAGAAUCUAAAUCUGAUCUGACAGUAUAAAGCCUUCCAGUCAAGUUAGAUUAUCGAACACAUCACAGAACUCACUCAGGUUCCAGAAUCAUUAAAAAAUCUUCAAAACAACUCUUUGGGAGUCCUCACCAGCAUCACAUUUGACUCUUGGACCAUUUACAUGUUCAUAAACCUAAGUGACUGACAUCCUACGAAAGGGCAGGAUGAAUAUCUCCUAGCUGGUUGAGGUUUUCAUUUCUUGCCUCAGGUCUGGAAGCUGGAAUGCACCUCCUUAGCAUGACCACUCAUACAGUCAGAGCUACCUGAUUAGAGCAAAUCCUGGGAAGAAGAAAAGGUCCCCUGGCA
rnacentral:lncRNA from 1 species